UACGUAAGGGGCAAGCGUUGUCCGGAAUCAUUGGGCGUAAAGCGCGUGUAGGCGGCCCGGUAAGUCCGCUGUGAAAGUCCAGGGCUCAACCCUGGGAUGCCGGUGGAAACUGUCGAGCUAGAGUCCGGAAGAGGCGAGUGGAAUUCCUGGUGUAGCGGUGAAAUGCGCAGAUAUCAGGAGGAACACCAAUGGCGAAGGCAGCUCGCUGGGACGGUACUGACGCUGAGACGCGAAAGCGUGGGGAGCAAACAGG
rnacentral:rRNA from 1 species